rnacentral:rRNA from 1 species
AUACGGAGGAUGCGAGCGUUAUCCGGAUUUAUUGGGUUUAAAGGGUGCGUAGGCUGUGCGUUAAGUCAGGGGUGAAAUGCCGUCGCUCAACGACGGAGCUGCCCUGAUACUGGCGUGCUGGAGUACGGAUGCCGUUGGAGGAAUGAGUGGUGUAGCGGUGAAAUGCUUAGAUAUCACUCAGAACACCGAUUGCGAAGGCAUCUGACGAAUCCGUCACUGACGCUGAGGCACGAAAGCGUGGGGAUAGAACAGGAUUAGAUACCCUGGUAUUCCACGCCGUAAACGAUGAUGACUAACCGUCGGCGAUAGACAGCCGGUGGCCAAGCGAAAGCGAUAAGUCAUCCACCUGGGGAGUACGUCGGCAACGAUGAAACUCAAAUGAAUUGACGGGG